GGCGCACGGGUGAGUAAUGCAUAGGUAACGUGCCCCUUAGUCUGGGAUAGCCACUGGAAACGGUGAAUAAUACUGGAUACUCCUUCUCACUUAAUGUGAGUCGGGAAAGUUUUUCGCUAAGGGAUCGGCCUAUGUUGUAUCAGGUAGUUGGUAGGGUAAUGGCCUACCAAGCCAAUGACACAUAGCGGGUCUGAGAGGAUGAUCCGCCACACUGGUACUGAGACACGGACCAGACUCCUACGGGAGGCAGCAGUGGGGAAUAUUGCACAAUGGACGAAAGUCUGAUGCAGCAACGCCGCGUGGAGGAAGACACAUUUCGGUGCGUAAACUCCUUUUAUAUAAGAAGAUAAUGACGGUAUUAUAUGAAUAAGCACCGGCUAACUCCGUGCCAGCAGCCGCGGUAAUACGGAGGGUGCAAGCGUUAUUCGGAAUCACUGGGCGUAAAGGGUGCGUAGGCGGUUUGGAAAGUCUGAUGUGAAAGCCUAUGGCUCAACCAUAGAACUGCAUUGGAAAC
rnacentral:rRNA from 1 species